ACAGUGUCUGGUGGGUAGUUUGACUGGGGCGGUCUCCUCCUAAAGAGUAACGGAGGAGCACGAAGGUUGGCUAAUCCUGGUCGGACAUCAGGAGGUUAGUGCAAUGGCAUAAGCCAGCUUGACUGCGAGCGUGACGGCGCGAGCAGGUGCGAAAGCAGGUCAUAGUGAUCCGGUGGUUCUGAAUGGAAGGGCCAUCGCUCAACGGAUAAAAGGUACUCCGGGGAUAACAGGCUGAUACCGCCCAAGAGUUCAUAUCGACGGCGGUGUUUGGCACCUCGAUGUCGGCUCAUCACAUCCUGGGGCUGAAGUAGGUCCCAAGGGUAUGGCUGUUCGCCAUUUAAAGUGGUACGCGAGCUGGGUUUAGAACGUCGUGAGACAGUUCGGUCCCUAUCUGCCGUGGGCGCUGGAGAACUGAGGGGGGCUGCUCCUAGUACGAGAGGACCGGAGUGGACGCAUCACUGGUGUUCGGGUUGUCAUGCCAAUGGCACUGCCCGGUAGCUAAAUGCGGAAGAGAUAAGUGCUGAAAGCAUCUAAGCACGAAACUUGCCCCGAGAUGAGUUCUCCCUGAC
rnacentral:rRNA from 1 species